GAUGAACGCUGGCGGCGUGCCUAAUACAUGCAAGUCGAGCGAACAGACGAGGAGUUUGCUCCUCUGACGUUAGCGGCGGACGGGUGAGAAACACGUGGAUAACCUACCUAUAAGUCUGGGAUAACUUCGGGAAACCGGAGCUAAUACCGGAUAAUAUACUGAACCGCAUGGUUCAAUAGUGAAAGACGGUUUUGCUGUCACUUAUAGAUGGAUCCGCGCUGCAUUAGCUAGUUGGUAAGGUAACGGCUUACCAAGGCAACGAUGCGUAGCCGACCUGAGAGGGUGAUCGGCCACACUGGAGCUGAGACACGGACCAGACUCCUACGGUAGGCAGCAGUAGGGAAUCUUCCGCAAUAGGCGAAAGCCUGACGGAGCGACGCCGCGUGAGUGAUGAAGGUCUUCGGAUCGUAAAACUCUGUUAUUAGGGAAGAACAAAUGUGUAAGUAACUAUGCACGUCUUGACGGUACCUAAUCAGAAAGCCACGGCUAACUACGUG
rnacentral:rRNA from 1 species